rnacentral:rRNA from 1 species
AUACGUAGGGGGCGAACGUUGUCCGGAUUUAUUGGGCGUAAAGGGUACGCAGGCGGCCAUGUAAGUCAGAUGUGAAAUCCUAGGGCUUAACCCUAGUUAGCAUUUGAAACUGUGUGGCUUGAGUUAAGGAGAGGAAAGUGGAAUUCCUAGUGUAGCGGUGAAAUGCGUAGAUAUUAGGAGGAAUACCAGUGGCGAAGGCGACUUUCUGGACUUAUACUGACGCUGAGGUACGAAAGCGUGGGGAGCAAACAGGAUUAGAUACCCUGGUAGUCCACGCCGUAAACGAUGAGUGCUAGGUGUCGGGGGUCAAACCUCGGUGCCGCAGCUAACGCAUUAAGCACUCCGCCUGGGGAGUACGUACGCAAGUAUGAA